AUUGAACGGCGGCGGCAUGCCUUACACAUGCAAGUCGAACGGCAGCACGGGUGCUUGCACCUGGUGGCGAGUGGCGAACGGGUGAGUAAUACAUCGGAACGUACCUUAUCGUGGGGGAUAACGCAGCGAAAGUUGCGCUAAUACCGCAUACGCCCUGAGGGGGAAAGCGGGGGACCGUAAGGCCUCGCGCGAUUAGAGCGGCCGAUGUCUGAUUAGCUUGUUGGUGAGGUAAAAGCUCACCAAGGCGAUGAUCAGUAGCUGGUCUGAGAGGACGAUCAGCCACACUGGGACUGAGACACGGCCCAGACUCCUACGGGAGGCAGCAGUGGGGAAUUUUGGACAAUGGGGGCAACCCUGAUCCAGCAAUGCCGCGUGAGUGAAGAAGGCCUUCGGGUUGUAAAGCUCUUUUGUCAGGGAAGAAACAGCAGCUCUAACACAGUCUGCGAAUGACGGUACCUGAAGAAUAAGCACCGGCUAACUACGUGCCAGCAGCCGCGGUAAUACGUAGGGUGCGAGCGUUAAUCGGAAUUACUGGGCGUAAAGCGUGCGCAGGCGGUUAUACAAGACAGGCGUGAAAUCCCCGGGCUUAACCUGGGAAUGGCGUCUGUGACUGUAUAGCUAGAGUGUGUCAGAGGGGGGUGGAAUUCCACGUGUAGCAGUGAAAUGCGUAGAUAUGUGGAGGAACACCAAUGGCGAAGGCAGCCCCCUGGGAUAACAC
rnacentral:rRNA from 1 species